rnacentral:rRNA from 1 species
UACGAAGGGGACUAGCGUUGUUCGGAAUCACUGGGCGUAAAGCGCACGUAGGCGGCUUCUCAAGUCAGGGGUGAAAUCCUGGAGCUCAACUCCAGAACUGCCUUUGAUACUGAGGGGCUCGAGUCCGGGAGAGGUGAGUGGAACUGCGAGUGUAGAGGUGAAAUUCGUAGAUAUUCGCAAGAACACCAGUGGCGAAGGCGGCUCACUGGCCCGGUACUGACGCUGAGGUGCGAAAGCGUGGGGAGCAAACAGG